GAGACUCUGUGCGCGUGCAUAUCAAUAAGCGGAGGAAAAGAAACUAACAAGGAUUCCCUUAGUAACGGCGAGUGGAAGCGGGAAGAGCUCAAAUUUGAAAUCUUCAAGGUUCUACCUUGACGAAUUGUAGUUUAUAGAAGUGUUUUCUGUUAGUAGAGUGGCAAAAGUUCUUUGGAAUAGGACAUCAUAGAGGGUGAGAAUCCCGUAUUUGGUACAUUCCUUCCUAGCUGUUGUGAUACACUUUCAACGAGUCGGAUUGUUUGGGAAUGCAGUCCAAAAUGGGUGGUAAAUUUCAUCUAAAGCUAAAUAUUGGCGAGAGACCGAUAGCGAACAAGUACCGUGAGGGAAAGAUGAAAAGAACUUUGAAAAGAGAGUUAAACAGUACGUGAAAUUGUCAAAAGGGAAGCGUUUGACACCAGUGUUGUUUUUCCGAAAAUCAAUUACGAAUGUUUUGUUUUUAAGAAGUUAUGACUUCAUCGGCUUGCUUCUUUCUUUACGGAACUUUCUUAAUGCACUUUUCGGUUAACAAGUCAACAUCAAUUUCUUUUGUUGUAAAAGGGUAUGAGGAAGGUGGCUUUCUUUUCGGAGAAAGUGUUUAUAGCCUUGUACCUCUGCAAUCGGAGAGAUUGAGGUCUGCAGCGUAGACUCUUCGGGGUUAGAUACAUUUGUGCUAAGCUAUAGCCUUGUAUAGACAACUUGUUGACUAUGCUCAGUCAUGUAGCUUACUCGCAGAUGCUAUUUUACCUACGCUUAGGAUGUUGAAGAUGUAGCACAUCAU
rnacentral:rRNA from 1 species